rnacentral:misc_RNA from 1 species
UAACUGCGUGCAGACGUGUGAACUGCAGGACACAUGAACACCGACAUUUCGAACGCAUAUGGCGGCUUGAAAUAAAUUUCAAGCCACGUCUGACUGAGGGUCGGAUAUAAAAUAAAAACAAAAGAUGCUCAAAGAGAACUUCUAAUUGAAUGUAGUAUCUUUGGGUUACAUCGCCAAGUCUGUAAAAACGCUUGGUUAGAAUACAAGUGUAUGUUUGUUGAAGCUUGUAUACAAUGUCGUGUCUCAAGCAGCAGACAGAAAUUAAAUGUUUUGUGGAAAGACAUCAUACACUAGAUAACUAAGAUUAUAUCAUACUUGCGACCUCAGAGCAGACGAGAUUACCCGCUGAAUUUAA